rnacentral:tRNA from 1 species
GGAGAGGUGACCGAGAGGCCGAAGGUGCUCGCCUGCUAAGUGAGUGUGCGCCCAAAAGCGCACCGUGGGUUCGAAUCCCACCCUCUCCGCCA